CUGCUCUGCCAUUCUCCCACACGCAACCUUUUCCUUCCUCUGCCUUCUCCUUCCUCCAAAACGCAGACUGUCGUUCCCCUACACGCAAAACGCAGCUCAACGGCUCCACCUUCAGUCCAAAACGCAGGCCACCAUUAGCCCUUCUCUCCCACAACUCAACGGUUCCACCUUCUCCGGCACCACCCUUCUCCAGCUCUACAUUUGUCAGUGCUACCCAUCUCUCACCCUCAGUUCUUCUCUCCCACAACACUGUCGACACUUGGGUUUCUACCACCAGGAAGUGGAAGGAUAUUGUGGAUGAAUCAACCUGGGGAACACACAUCCUCUACUUUAAUGGCUGAUGGAGACUCACCUCAGUAGAAAGUUACUCAAAAUGGUUAUAAGUUGCUAUAAGUUGAUUUUUUUUGGGUUAUCUUUGAAUUACAGCAGGUACUGUUAGUGAGAAUUUGUAUUGCAACUCCCAACUAAAACUGUGAGUUAUAAUUUUGUUAAUAGAGAACUAUAAGCGUUUAGAAUUUUGGUUAAGAGUAAUGAUUUUUACUGAUAAGUUCUUUGGAAUUUUGGUUUUCUUUUUAAAAUUUUCUUAUUGAAUAGAUGUAAGCCUCAAAAGUUUGAUUCCCUUGCUCUUUCUUAUUUCACUUUUAUGCUAUUGGUUAAAUGAUUUGUGAAGCUUUCUUUAAUUUACAACCUCUCUCUUUUAGUUUAUUUGAUUGCAACUCAGAAAAUGAAGAGAUAUGAAGAGUAUGUUGGGAGAGGAGCGUUGAAGAAGAAGAAUGAAGAAAAAUUGAGAGAGGGAAGGGAAAAUGCAAGAAGCAUAACAGAAAGUCAAAAACAUAAAAUUUAGUGCUAUAUACAAAGACAAAAGAACACCUCAAUCAGAAUGAGAAAGGAUGUAGGUACCCUCACAUCAUCAAAAGCGGUGGUUUUCCCGUAGAUAUCCCUCUCAUUGACAUCGACACUAUUCUACAAAGCAGGCUCCCUCACAAUCUUCUGAGCAUUUGCAGCAUCAUCAUCA